rnacentral:lncRNA from 1 species
UAGUUUCUCAAUGAUAAUCAUACAUUGGUUUUAUCUUGUUUAUCUGCAUAUUACUUAGAAUCAUAGUAUGACUUUGAAAUUAGCAUAAACAAUUUCAUAACAAUUAUGUCUAUGACUAUUUAUCGUACAAAAUAAUUUUCUGUAGAUUCAUUAGUAUUCAUAAAGUAUUGAUAGUCAUCAUAAUUGUCAGUAUAGGGGAACCACAAUUAUAAGUUUCAACAAGUAGGCAUGUAUGCAGAAUAUUUUUAAAUCCAAAAAUUAAGUCCCUAUGAAAAUGCAACUGUUUUCUUAAAAUCCAUAGAAAUUAGUGUCCA